AUGUUGUUAUAUGACUGACGGAAAAAGUGGAAGAACCACAUGGAGUAUAACAGAAUAGCAAUGCCGACCGUCUGGGCAGAAUCG
rnacentral:ncRNA from 2 species